rnacentral:rRNA from 1 species
AGUUUGAUCCUGGCUCAGAAUGAACGCUGGCGGUAGGCUUAAUACAUGCAAGUCGGACGGAAACGAUAAAGAGCUUGCUCUUUAGGCGUCGAGUGGCGGACGGGUGAGUAACGCGUGGGAAUCUACCCUAUAGUUGGGGACAACAUAUGGAAACGUAUGCUAAUACCGAAUGUGCUCUACGGAGUAAAGGAGCCCUCUUCCUGAAAGGUUUCGCUAUAGGAUGAGCCCGCGUUAGAUUAGCUAGUUGGUAAGGUAAUGGCUUACCAAGGCGACGAUCUAUAGCUGGUUUGAGAGGAUGAUCAGCCACACUGGGACUGAGAUACGGCCCAGACUCCUACGGGAGGCAGCAGUGGGGAAUAUUGCGCAAUGGACGAAAGUCUGACGCAGCAAUACCGCGUGUGUGAAGAAGGCCUUCGGGUUGUAAAGCACUUUCAGUAGGGAGGAAAAGUAAGUAGUUAAUAACUGCUUACCCUGACGUUACCUACAGAAGAAGCACCGGCUAACUCCGUGCCAGCAGCCGCGGUAAUACGGAGGGUGCAAGCGUUAAUCGGAAUUACUGGGCGUAAAGCGCGCGUAGGCGGUUAGAUAAGUCAGAUGUGAAAGCCCCGGGCUCAACCUGGGAACUGCAUUUGAAACUGUUUAACUAGAGUGUGGUAGAGGAGAGUGGAAUUUCAGGUGUAGCGGUGAAAUGCGUAGAUAUCCGGAGGAACACCAGUGGCGAAGGCGGCUUCCUGGACCAACACUGACACUGAGGUGCGAAAGCGUGGGGAGCGAACAGGAUUAGAUACCCUGGUAGUCCACGCCGUAAACGAUGAGAACUAGAUGGUUGGGGGGCAUGUCCCUUUAGUGUCGAAGCUAACGCGAUAAGUUCUCCGCCUGGGGAGUACGGCCGCAAGGUUAAAACUCAAAUGAAUUGACGGGGGCCCGCACAAGCGGUGGAGCAUGUGGUUUAAUUCGAUACAACGCGAAGAACCUUACCUGGCCUUGACAUCCCGAGAAUUUACUAGAGAUAGUUUAGUGCCUUCGGGGAACACUAACCCAAGGUGCUGCAUGGGUGUCGUCAGCUCGUGUCGUGAGAUGUUGGGUUAAGUCCCGUAACGAGCACAACCCUUAUCCUUAGUUGCCAUCAUUUAGUUGGGGACUCUAAGGAGACUGCCGGUGACAAACCGGAGGAAGGUGGGGACGACGUCAAGUCAUCAUGGCCCUUACGACCUGGGCUACACACGUGCUACAAUGGUAGGUACAGAGGGCAGCGAACUAGCGAUAGUGAGCGAAUCCCAGAAAGCCGGUCGUAGUCCGGAUUGGAGUCUGCAACUCGACUCCAUGAAGUCGGAAUCGCUAGUAAUCGUGGAUCAGAAUGCCGCGGUGAAUACGUUCCCGGGCCUUGUACACACCGCCCGUCACACCAUGGGAGUGGGUUGCAAAAGAAGUAGGUAGCUUAACCUUUGGGAGGGCGCUUACCACUUUGUGAUUCAUGACUGGGGUGAAGUCGUAACAAGGUAGCC